UGGGGGAUAUUGCACAAUGGGGGGAACCCUGAUGCAGCGACGCCGCGUGGGUGAAGGAGUAUUUCGGUAUGUAAAGCCCUAUCGGCAGGGAAGAAUUUAGACGGUACCUGACUAAGAAGCCCCGGCUAACUACGUGCCAGCAGCCGCGGUAAUACGUAGGGGGCAAGCGUUAUCCGGAUUCACUGGGUGUAAAGGGAGCGUAGACGGCCAGGCAAGCCUGGAGUGAAAGCCCGGGGCCCAACCCCGGGACUGCUCUGGGAACUGUCCGGCUGGAGUGCGGGAGGGGCAGGCGGAAUUCCUGGU
rnacentral:rRNA from 1 species